GCCCAGAUAGCUCAGUGGUAGAGCACUUGCAUGGUAAGCAAGCGGUCGAAGGUUCGAUUCCUUUUCUGGGCA
rnacentral:tRNA from 1 species